rnacentral:lncRNA from 1 species
AGGAAAUCCUGGGAAUCGUUUUCUAGAAAAAACACCUCUGUCCAUAUGAUGACUUUUCCAUUUGCUUUGUAUUCUGAUCCGUGGAAUAUCUUCACAUUUGUUAUAGUCUCCAUGGACUUCCCAUCUAUAGGACUUAGACACCCUUGCUAACGUUCUUGUCAUCAUCCACCCACCGGAUGUGCAUGCGCUCCUGGGGAUCCUCCGCGUCUGCCUUCCCACAGGUGAUGCUGAAGUCCCUCGUCUCUAGCAGUGCCUGCCUCGAGGAAUCCAUGUUCUCUGCAGUGAUCUGGACCAUAACGCCAUCUUCCACAAUACUGGACUUGGCAAGGUAUCCAGAAGAGGAUUUCAGAGCGCCACCGAACACAAAAAAACUGCUUUGAGUUUGCAUAUAGUUACAGUAGUACUGAAAAAUCCUCGCA